rnacentral:rRNA from 1 species
ACUCCUACGGGAGGCAGCAGUGGGAAUAUUGCACAAUGGGGAAGGCCAUCGAUGCAGCAACGACCGCGUGGGAGGAUGACACAUUUCGGUGCGUAAACUCCUUUUAUAUAGGAAGAUAAUGACGGUACUAUAUGAAUAAGCGCCGGCUAACUCCGUGCCAGCAGCCGCGGUAAUACGGAGGGCGCAAGCGUUACUCGGAAUCACUGGGCGUAAAGAGCGUGUAGGCGGAUAGAUAAGUCAGGAGUGAAAUCCUAUGGCUCAACCAUAGAACUGCUCUUGAAACUGUCAAUCUAGAGUAUGGGAGAGGUAGAUGGAAUUUCUGGUGUAGGGGUAAAAGUCCGUAGAGAUCAGAAGGAAUACCGAUUGCGAAGGCGAUCUACUGGAACAUAACUGACGCUGAGACGCGAAAGCGUGGGAGCAAACAGGAUUAGAUACCCUGGUAGGCUCUG